rnacentral:rRNA from 1 species
GACCGAUAGUGAACUAGUACCGUGAGGGAAAGGUGAAAAGCACCCCGGGAGGGGAGUGAAAUAGUACCUGAAACCAUGUGCCUACAAGCAGUCGGAGCCCCUUUGGGGGUGACGGCGUGCCUUUUGUAGAAUGAGCCAGCGAGUUACGGUGUGUGGCGAGGUUAAGCCAUAAAGCGAGCCGCAGCGACAGCGAGUCCUAAUUGGGCGUUUAGUCGCAUACCGUAGACGCGAAGCCAGGUGAGCUAUCCAUGGGCAGGCUGAAGCGGGGGUAAGACCCCGUGGAGGGCCGAACCCACCUAGGUUGAAAACUGGGGGGAUGACCUGUGGAUAGGAGUGAAAGGCCUAUCAAACCUGGAGAUAUCUCGUUCUCCCCGAAAUAGCUUUAGGGCUAGCCUCAAGCGUUUAUCAACGGAGGUAGAGCACUGGAUGGUAGCAGGGGCCUCACCGCCUACUAACACCAACCAAACUCCGAAUGCCGUUGAUCUAGAGCUUGGGAGUCAGAAUAUGUGGGCUAAGCUGUGUAUUCGAAAGGGAAACAGCCCAGACCGUCCGCUAAGGUCCCGAAAUUCAUGUUAAGUGGCAAAGGAUGUGCGUUUGCUCAGACAACCAGGAUGUUGGCUCAGAAGCAGCCAUUCAUUUAAAGAGUGCGUAAUAGCUCACUGGUCGAGUGGACAUGCGCCGACAAUAUACGGGGCUAAGCAUGAUACCGAAGCGACGGAUCAGUAUUUAUACUGGUGGUAGGGGAGCUUUCCGCUUGGAGUGAAGCUAAAGGAUAACCUUUAGUGGACUGAUCGGAAGUGAGAAUGCUGGCAUGAGUAACGAGAGAGGCGUGGAAAACGCCUCCGCCGUAAACCUAAGGUUUCCUGGGCAAGGCUAAUCCUCCCAGGGUCAGUCGGGAGCUAAGGCGAGGCCGGAAGGCGUAGUCGAUGCAUAGCAGGUAGAUAUUCCUGCACCUCCGAAACGGUGUUUGAGCAAUGGGGUGACGGAGAAGGGUAGCUUGGCGGGGUUCUGGACGUCCCCGUGAAGUCGCGUAGGUUGGAAGGCUGUGAAAUGCGCCUUUCAUAUAGCUGAGGCGACUGACGAAACGAUUGAGCGAAGUAAGUGAGCCCAUGCUUCCAAGAAAAACCUCUAGUUAGCCGCAAGGAGCCCGUACCGCAAACCGACACAGGUGGGUGGGUAGAACAUACCAAGGCGAUCGGGAGAACCAUGGUUAAGGAACUCGGCAAAAUCACCCCGUAACUUCGGGAGAAGGGGAGGCCAUUUAGGUGAAAGGACUUGCUCCUUGAGCUCUAGUGGCCCGCAGAUGAGAGGCCCAAACGACUGUUUAUCAAAAACACAGGACUCUGCUGAAGUCGUAAGACGACGUAUAGGGGCUGACGCCUGCCCGGUGCCGGAAGGUCACGAGGAGCUGUUAGCGCAAGCGAAGCGGCGAAUCUAAGCCCCGGUAAACGGCGGCCGUAACUAUAACGGUCCUAAGGUAGCGAAAUUCCUUGUCGGGUAAGUUCCGACCUGCACGAAAGGCGUAACGA